rnacentral:lncRNA from 13 species
CUCCUACAACACCUCCAAUCAAAUAAAUUGUACUGAGUUUAAAUAUCAAAGCAACAUUCAUUCCUUGAUGGUUAGAGAUGAUGUCUGACAAGAAAAUUCAAAUUUAUGAUUUAUUUACUCCUUAAAUGUCUCAAAGCCCGGAUUACUGGAAGACUUACUAUGCUUAUUCAAGCAUGCUGACAGAACUGUAAUCUCUCAGUAAUUUCUCCAUGCACCUCUCAGCAUGGCUGACAGGCAUCUGCCAAGACUGUAGUACAUAAACCGCUGAAACAUGAAAUAUAAAAAUAUUUACCCCCAAAAGAUGUAGUAAAAGCUCAGCUUCCUCCAGCUUCCAUAACCCCUGAGGUGUUAAUCUGGAGGAACAGUUGCAUGAGUUUCCACAGGCCAGCCGUGUGUCUCCUACACUUGACCUAGACAGCCUUACAUAACGAAGCACCAGUGCUGGGGAGCUCUCUGAAUGUCAUCACCAGUAAGAGUAAGAAGUAUUGGCAGAAGCAGGCAGGCAGGCAGGCAGGCUGGGUGUUUGCGUGGAAAUCAUAAAGUCUUUCUUGUCUUCCUCUUUUGAAAUAUUUUGGAAAGAGAGUUAAGAAUAGCUCAGAAACUGGUCUCAUUCUUUUUGUGGGGAGAAUGACCAGAAGCAUAAAAGCUAAGUCUUCCAGCAAGUGCAAGACUCCUCUUUCGGUGUCUGCAGUAAAUGUAACAAAAAUGAAUUGCUAUCACUAAAGUCCUGUACCAUGACACCUAAAAUGAAGGAAAUGCUAAAGCAAAGUAAUAACUCAAAGACUGUCACCGAGGGCUUUUGUCUACCUUUAACUCAAUGUGCUUGGAAUUUAUUCCUUCCAUUUGUUGCCUCAUCGUCUUGAGAUGGCUGCCUCACUUCUAGCAUCCUAACUGCAUUCCAGGGAGAAGUACAGGAGAGAAAAAGGCAUAAGACACACGCCAGGUAAAUCAGCUUUCUCCAAGAGCUUUCCCAGACCCCCUAGAGAUUUUAACUUACAGUCUAUGGGUCACAACUUUGAAAAAUGCCCACUCCCUUCUGCAUGGGAAUCUGGAAUCACUGUGUUUUUAGCUGAGCCCACUGCUACCCCUAAAUAAAGUUGGGAUUCUCUUUUUAAGACA